rnacentral:misc_RNA from 1 species
CCCGCAUGUGGAAAGAAUGAUGAAGUUCAAGUGACUUUGAUGACUGACAUCCCACAGCUCCAAGAUUUUCCAGGGGUAGCACAGGUGCUGAUUUCCCAGUGGCAUGGUGAUCAGGCUUGGUGUCUAACUUCCAGAACCCAAUGUGUCUCUCACUACCAAAAGAUGCAUCCUCAGAGAAGAACGAUGAUGAGGACAAACCUGGUGAGCUCUUUGCUUCAGAUGGCAUGAUGAUUGAC